rnacentral:rRNA from 1 species
AAUCAACGCUGGCGGCGUGCCUCAGACAUGCAAGUCGAACGCGAAAGUCCCCUUCGGGGGACGAAGUAGAGUGGCGCACGGGUGAGUAACACGUAGGUAAUCUACCUUCGGAUGGGGAAGUAACAACCGGAAACGGUUAGCUAAUACCGCAUAAUGCAGCGGCACCUAAUGGUGACAGUUGUUAAAGACGGGGGAGUCGAAAGACCUCGCGUCUGAAGAGGAGCCUGCGGCGGAUUAGCAGUUGGUAAGGUAAUGGCUUACCAAGGCGACGAUCCGUAGCCGGCCUGAGAGGGCGGUCGGCCACACUGACACUGACAUACGGGUCAGACUCCUACGGGAGGCAGCAGUCGGGAAUUUUGGG